ACGUUUCUAGUAUAUUAAAAUAUAUUACUUUUCCAAAGUAAUGAUCUACUGUUGUAGGUAACGUA
rnacentral:tRNA from 2 species